GGCGAACGCUGGCGGCGUGCCUAAUACAUGCAAGUCGAACGAACUCUGGUAUUGAUUGGUGCUUGCAUCAUGAUUUACAUUUGAGUGAGUGGCGAACUGGUGAGUAACACGUGGGAAACCUGCCCAGAAGCGGGGGAUAACACCUGGAAACAGAUGCUAAUACCGCAUAACAACUUGGACCGCAUGGUCCGAGUUUGAAAGAUGGCUUCGGCUAUCACUUUUGGAUGGUCCCGCGGCGUAUUAGCUAGAUGGUGGGGUAACGGCUCACCAUGGCAAUGAUACGUAGCCGACCUGAGAGGGUAAUCGGCCACAUUGGGACUGAGACACGGCCCAAACUCCUACGGGAGGCAGCAGUAGGGAAUCUUCCACAAUGGACGAAAGUCUGAUGGAGCAACGCCGCGUGAGUGAAGAAGGGUUUCGGCUCGUAAAACUCUGUUGUUAAAGAAGAACAUAUCUGAGAGUAACUGUUCAGGUAUUGACGGUAUUUAACCAGAAAGCCACGGCUAACUACGUGCCAGCAGCCGCGGUAAUACGUAGGUGGCAAGCGUUGUCCGGAUUUAUUGGGCGUAAAGCGAGCGCAGGCGGUUUUUUAAGUCUGAUGUGAAAGCCUUCGGCUCAACCGAAGAAGUGCAUCGGAAACUGGGAAACUUGAGUGCAGAAGAGGACAGUGGAACUCCAUGUGUAGCGGUGAAAUGCGUAGAUAUAUGGAAGAACACCAGUGGCGAAGGCGGCUGUCUGGUCUGUAACUGACGCUGAGGCUCGAAAGUAUGGGUAGCAAACAGGAUUAGAUACCCUGGUAGUCCAUACCGUAAACGAUGAAUGCUAAGUGUUGGAGGGUUUCCGCCCUUCAGUGCUGCAGCUAACGCAUUAAGCAUUCCGCCUGGGGAGUACGGCCGCAAGGCUGAAACUCAAAGGAAUUGACGGGGGCCCGCACAAGCGGUGGAGCAUGUGGUUUAAUUCGAAGCUACGCGAAGAACCUUACCAGGUCUUGACAUACUAUGCAAAUCUAAGAGAUUAGACGUUCCCUUCGGGGACAUGGAUACAGGUGGUGCAUGGUUGUCGUCAGCUCGUGUCGUGAGAUGUUGGGUUAAGUCCCGCAACGAGCGCAACCCUUAUUAUCAGUUGCCAGCAUUAAGUUGGGCACUCUGGUGAGACUGCCGGUGACAAACCGGAGGAAGGUGGGGAUGACGUCAAAUCAUCAUGCCCCUUAUGACCUGGGCUACACACGUGCUACAAUGGAUGGUACAACGAGUUGCGAACUCGCGAGAGUAAGCUAAUCUCUUAAAGCCAUUCUCAGUUCGGAUUGUAGGCUGCAACUCGCCUACAUGAAGUCGGAAUCGCUAGUAAUCGCGGAUCAGCAUGCCGCGGUGAAUACGUUCCCGGGCCUUGUACACACCGCCCGUCACACCAUGAGAGUUUGUAACACCCAAAGUCGGUGGGGUAACCUUUUAGGAACCAGCCGCCUAAGGUGGGACAGAUGAUUAGGGUGAAG
rnacentral:rRNA from 1 species